rnacentral:lncRNA from 1 species
AUUUUUUUUUUUUUUAAAUGUUUUUUAGAUAAAAACACUUUUUAAAAUCAUUAUUGCUCUAAAUCCUUAAAUCCACCACUUUUUUGGAACAACUUUUUGUUUUAUCUGGAAGCUGAAGUCGAAUCCAAAGUCAUAAGUUUCAAAAGACGAUAUUGGUAUUCGAAGGCAAUGUUUGGUUUCCAAAAAAUUUGAAGAAAAAUACGAAAAAAAAAAAAAGAAUUUUUUUUUUUAAGUUAAUAAAUUAUUUUUAUAUGUUUUUUCAAAUUCAUUUACUUCUUCAUUUUCAUUAUAUAAAGAUUAAAUAAUUAAAAAUUACAUAAAUUUGUAAUUACUUUUAAUUAUAUUUAAUUUUCUUUUAUAUUUUACAUGAAACCAAACAUAAACAAACCAUUUUCUUUUAACAUUUUUUUUUUCUUUUAUUUGCACUUUCUAGGAACCAGAUAUAGCCUAAAAGUUUUAUUAAAUAUAAAAUAAUUUAUUGUAUAAACCGGCAAGAGCUAAUAUUUUUUUAACUUCCAUCUUGAACUCAUUUUAAAUUAUAAACUCUUUGAAUAAAAUUAGUAAAACACAUACAAAAGCUCCUAUUGAGUUCAAAAAAUAACUUUCAGCUCUUCAGAGUCAAAUCCAAACGGACCCUAUAACACAAAAGUAUUGUUUGUUAAUCCUUGAUGUUAUUUGUAGAAAACUUUGGGCCUGUAGGGAUGUUAUGUGAUGAGCCCAUGUUUGUGUGAUGAUGGUAGGUCAAUGAAUCAUGGACCAUCUAAAAGGUGACUGAGCCCAAGCCCACAUCAUCACAACUAAAUUGGGCUCCCAGAGAAUAAUUGUGGGCCUAUAAAACAAACCAGUCAAGUGGGGCGGUUUUCAUUGGAAUUUGGGCUAAUGGGAUUGAUUAACUUCUAUUUGUGAAUCUUGGCCUCCACCUCACUCUUUCCUAUUUUCAUCUGCAGACUGCAAACUGCUUGCCAAAGAUUUCCCUGAAUUGGUAAAACUUGGGAUUCAAAACUAUGACUUCACCAUCCAAGCAAAGAUGACAGCUCUUUGGAGGGGCUUUUGUAUUUUUGUUACAUGAUAUGGUAUUGCUUCAAAUACCACAUUACAAACCUACCAUACUAUGAUUGAAAUGCUUUACCUACAUGAUCAAAUAAUUCAGUUGAAAUUAUUAUGGAGAGGCAUGAACGAACAUAGGUGGACCAAGAAUCCAAGUGCUGUUUCUGAAUUAAAAGACAAGAAAGAAAGAAAGAAAGCAAAAGAAAGGGGGAAAGCAAAGAAAGGAGAGGGUAAUGAUAGGCACCAAUUAAUAAACCCAAUGGCAAUAAUUCAAAAUAACUCCCCUCAACCUCAAAUACAAAAGCUUCCCUAAAAAAUAUCCCAAAGAAUCCAACUCAAUGUAGUAAUAAAAUGUCCCAUCAACCCCGUAAUGACAUCCCCAGUCAUAAUAUUUAAAAUCAAGAAGUAAAUAACACGAAUUUCACAAGGAACGGAGAAGGAGAACAUCUCUCUAGAUCACCAGGCUCAGUGCCAGUCCAAAUGCCAAGCUCCCGGCCACCUUCUUCAUCGACCACAGCUUUUCCACUCCAUUCUGCAAUGUACAACACAGCUAUCAUUAAACGUCAAAUAAACUUUAUAUAAAGCAUAUCGGGUUUGGGCACGUCUGGACAAAUGUGCAGAGCCAAGGACUCGAAUCCUGAGCCUGAUGUUCCCCUGCUUCAAUGCUAGCUGUCAUAAGGAAUGCUUUACUGGCCUAGUCUACUCCUAACUAUGAUUUGUUUUGGCACUUUUCCCGAUGCGUUUGAUGGUCGUGAUCAGGUGUAAUUGCAGCGAUCUCACGCCUAUCAGACUCUGUCAAGCUUACACCAGCUCCACAACCAAUGCACGUGUCGAGGGGCUCGAGACGCCAUAGUUGUGAUCAGUGGAACCUUGCGGAUUUAUGUUAGAAAAACUAAGUGGAGUGUUGCUAAUGUGCGCACUAACUAGGUGGCAGUUUAAACCAGUUAAAUGUGAACUAGGCUAGCUUAGAUCUAAGGAUCGGAUUGUAACUAGGCGCGCGAUCGAGCCGCGAGGUGAAAAUGAAAUGACUUACCACAUCGUUCGCAGCUGGUGCUGGUGAGAUUCCGCCUGAGAUCGGUCCAGGCGCCUCCGCUGGUGGUGCCGGCGGGCUGUUCGUAAGUGGCGAUGGAGCCAAGGCCGGAGAUUUCACUUUUGUGCUUGGAGCUGGCGCUGGAACCGCUGCUGGUGGAGAGGCGAGAGGAGCCGGUGGAGGAGUUGCGGGAGGAGGAGUUGCAGGUGGAGGAGUGGCCGGUGGGGGAGUGGCCGGUGGUGGAGUAGCCGGUGGAGGAGUGGCGGGCGGAGGGGUGGCCGGUGGAGGUGUUGCUGGUGGAGGGGUUGCUGGUGGAGGAGUGGCUGGUGGAGGAGUGGCCGGUGGUGGAGUGGCUGGGGGUGGAGUGGCCGGUGGUGGAGUGGCAGGCGGAGGAGUAGCCGGUGGCGGGGCUGAUACCGGAGGAGGAGACGAGGCGGGAGGAGAUGUAACAGCAGUUGGUGGUGACGCGGCGGGAGUUGUGGGGGUAGGAGGAGCUGGAGUGGCGGUGGGCCCUCCAGCGGGAGCCUGACCUCCAACGCCGGCGAAGACAAUGCAGACCAAUCCAAGAACAAGCAAACUCUUGCAAUCCAUCGUGUUAAGCUGCGCACACUGACACCCAAUCCUAUGCACAAUGGGACUGCAAGCAGAGGGAGUGAGACAGAGAGAGAAGUGGAGAAUGGAGAUUAUAAAUAGGCAGUUUGUAUGAGGGUGUUGC